AUCCGCCGACGUUCCUCCGAUGACUCGGCGGGGAGCUUUCCCCGGGAAACCAAAGCUUUUGGGUUCCGGGGGAAGUAUGGUUGCAAAGCUGAAACUUAAAGGAAUUGGCGGAAGGGCACACAAGGAGUGGAGCCUGCGGCUUAAUUUGACUCAACACGGGAAACCUCACCAGGCCCGGACAUUGGAAGGAUUGACAGAUCGAUAGCUCUUUCUCGAUUCAGUGGGUAGUGGUGCAUGGCCGUUUCUAGUUGGUGGACUGAUUUGUCUGGUUAAUUCUGAUAACGAACGAGACUCUAACCUAUUAACUAGGCGACACCGGUAUAUCUAGCUACCGGCGAGAUUUAUUCUUCUUAAGGGGACAGGCGGCUCUCAGCCGCACGAGAUUGAGCAAAAACAGGUCAGUGAUGCCCUUAGAUGUUCUGGGCCGCACGCGCGCUACACUGAAGGAAUCAGCGUGUGCUCCCCUGUCCGAAAGGUCCGGGUAACCCGCUGAACCUCCUGCGUGCUAGGAAUUGGGGCUUGCAAUUGUUCCCCAUGAACGAGGAAUUUCCAGUAAGCGCGAGUCAUAAGCUCGCGCUGACUACGUCCCUGCCCUUUGCACACACCGCCCGUCGCUACUACUGAUUGAAUGAUUUAGUGAGGUCUUCGGACCGGCGAUAUCCGGCACCGACUUCUCGUCUGGUAUCGGUUUCGCUGGAAAGAUGACCGAACUUGAUUAUUUAGAGGAAGUAAAAGUCG
rnacentral:rRNA from 1 species